UUGAACGCUGGCGGCAUGCCUUACACAUGCAAGUCGAACGGUAGAGUAGCAAUACUCGAGAGUGGCGAACGGGUGAGUAAUAUAUCGGAACGUGCCCAGUCGUGGGGGAUAACGUAGAGAAAUUUACGCUAAUACCGCAUACGAUCUAAGGAUGAAAGCGGGGGACUCGCAAGGGCCUCGCGCGAUUGGAGCGGCUGAUGUCGGAUUAGCUAGUUGGUGGGGUAAAGGCCUACCAAGGCGACGAUCCGUAGCUGGUCUGAGAGGAUGAUCAGCCACACUGGGACUGAGACACGGCCCAGACUCCUACGGGAGGCAGCAGUGGGGAAUUUUGGACAAUGGGGGCAACCCUGAUCCAGCCAUUCCGCGUGAGUGAAGAAGGCCUUCGGGUUGUAAAGCUCUUUCAGCCGGAACGAAACGGUACGCUCUAACAUAGCGUGCUAAUGACGGUACCGGCAGAAGAAGCACCGGCUAACUACGU
rnacentral:rRNA from 1 species